rnacentral:misc_RNA from 1 species
AAGUCGUAACAAGGUAACCGUAGGUGAACCUGCGGUUGGAUCAUUAACAAUUUUAGCAGGGAGCUUGUCUUUGGAUGAGAUCCUGUGAAAAAUCAAUCACCUUUUGUGCACUGUCUGUCUCUGGCGGCCGGGGCAAAAUCAACCUUGAUCGAGGUUGCAUAGCUUGUGCUCUGUCAGCUUGGUACACUUGUGGACCAGGCCGUGGACAAACCGCCAACCACUUUGUUUAUCUCCCUGUUUUAAUCUCCUGUCUAACAAUUUUCUUUGUAUUAACAUACAAUAAAACUUUUGGCAACGGAUCUCUUGGCUCUC